GACGAACGCUGGCGGCGUGCUUAACACAUGCAAGUCGAACGGAAAGGCCCUGCUUUUGUGGGGUGCUCGAGUGGCGAACGGGUGAGUAACACGUGAGUAACCUGCCCUUGACUUUGGGAUAACUUCAGGCAACUGGGGCUAAUACAGGAUAGGAGCUCCUGCUGCAUGGUGGGGGUUGGAAAGUUUCGGCGGUUGGGGAUGGACUCGCGGCUUAUCAGCUUGUUGGUGGGGUAGUGGCUUACCAAGGCUUUGACGGGUAGCCGGCCUGAGAGGGUGACCGGCCACAUUGGGACUGAGAUACGGCCCAGACUCCUACGGGAGGCAGCAGUGGGGAAUAUUGCACAAUGGGCGGAAGCCUGAUGCAGCAACGCCGCGUGCGGGAUGACGGCCUUCGGGUUGUAAACCGCUUUCGCCUGUGACGAAGCGUGAGUGACGGUAAUGGGUAAAGAAGCACCGGCUAACUACGUG
rnacentral:rRNA from 1 species